rnacentral:rRNA from 1 species
GUACACGCUGUGACUAGCAUAUCAAUAAGCGGAGGAAAAGAAACUAACAAGGAUUCCCCUAGUAACGGCGAGUGAAGCGGGAAGAGCUCAAAUUUGAAAUCUUAAAGGGUUUCCCUUUACGAAUUGUAGUUUAAAGAAGUGUUUUCUGUUGAGGUUUUGGUAAAAGUUCUUUGGAAUAGGACAUCAUAGAGGGUGAGAAUCCCGUAUUUGACCUUUACUUUCAACUUUGUGAUACACUUUCAAAGAGUCGGAUUGUUUGGGAAUGCAGUCCAAAAUGGGUGGUAAAUUUCAUCUAAAGCUAAAUAUUGGCGAGAGACCGAUAGCGAACAAGUACCGUGAGGGAAAGAUGAAAAGAACUUUGAAAAGAGAGCUAAACAGUACGUGAAAUUGUCAAAAGGGAAGCGUUUGACACCAGUGUUGUUUUUCUGAAAAUCAAUUAAAGAACUGUUUAUGCUAAGCUGUUUAGACUUUAUCAGCUAUCUGUUUAGUUUUGAGCUUUUUCUUAAUGCACUUUUCAGUUAACAAGUCAACAUCAAUUUCUUUUGCUGUAAAAAAGCUUGAGGAAGGUGGCUUGAGAUUCGUCUUAAGUGUUUAUAGCCUCUUGCCUAUGCAGUCGGAGAGAUUGAGGUCUGCAGCGUAGAUCCUUCGGGGCUAAAUGCAUUUGUGCUAAGUUAUAGCAUUUAUAGACAACUUGUUGACUAUGAUUUGUCUUGUAGGCUUACUCGCUUAUGUUAUUUUACCUACGCUUAGGAUGUUGAAGAUGUAGCACAUCAU